UACGUAGGGUGCAAGCGUUGUCCGGAAUUAUUGGGCGUAAAGAGCUCGUAGGCGGUUUGUUGCGUCGGCUGUGAAAUCCCGAGGCUCAACCUCGGGUCUGCAGUCGAUACGAGCAAACUAGAGUGUUGCAGGGGAGACUGAAUUCUGGUGUAGCGUGAAAUGCGCAGAUAUCAGGAGGAACACCGGUGGCGAAGGCGGGUCUCUGGGCAUGUCCUGACGCUGAGGAAGCGAAAGUGUGGGGAGCGAACAGG
rnacentral:rRNA from 1 species